GGCAACCCGCUGAGGUCCCCUUCCACACUGUAGAGGCUUUGUUCUUUUGCUCUUUGCAGUAAAUCUUGCUGCUGCUCACUCUUUGGGUCCACACUGCUUUUAUGAGCUGUAACACUCACCGCGAAAGUCUGCAGCUUCACUCCUGAAGCCAGCAAGACCACGAGCCCACCGGGAAGAACGAACAACUCCAGACGCGCUGCCUUAAGAGCUGUAACACUCACCGCGAAGGUCUGCAGCUUCACUCCUGAGCCAGCGAGACCACAAACCCACCAGAAGGAAGAAACUCCGAACGCAUCCGAACAUCAGAAGGAACAAACUCUAGACGUGCCACCUUAAGAGCUGUAACACUCACCGCGAGGGUCCGCGGCUUCAUUCUUGAAGUCAGUGAGACCAAGAACCCACCAAUUCCGGACACAAGAGGACGGUGUUCAGUGAGCUUCCAGAGGGCUGAACACAUGGAGGUUCCUGGAGGGUGGCAUGUCUAGGGAGGGGAGGGAAGCUCCACACCCUUUCCUCCAUAGCUCACCCUGUACUCUCUUCAUCUGUAUCCUUUGCAAUAUCUUUUAUAAUAAACCGGUAAAUGUGUUUCCCUAA
rnacentral:lncRNA from 1 species